CGGCCCAGACUCCUACGGGAGGCAGCAGUGGGGAAUAUUGCACAAUGGGCGGAAGCCUGAUGCAGCAACGCCGCGUGAGGGAUGACGGCCUUCGGGUUGUAAACCUCUUUUAGCAGGGAAGAAGCGAAAGUGACGGUACCUGCAGAAAAAGCGCCGGCUAACUACGUGCCAGCAGCCGCGGUAAUACGUAGGGCGCAAGCGUUAUCCGGAAUUAUUGGGCGUAAAGAGCUCGUAGGCGGUUUGUCGCGUCUGCUGUGAAAUCCCGAGGCUCAACCUCGGGCCUGCAGUGGGUACGGGCAGACUAGAGUGCGGUAGGGGAGAUUGGAAUUCCUGGUGUAGCGGUGGAAUGCGCAGAUAUCAGGAGGAACACCGAUGGCGAAGGCAGAUCUCUGGGCCGUAACUGACGCUGAGGAGCGAAAGGGUGGGGAGCAAACAGGCUUAGAUACCCUGGUAGUCCACCCCGUAAACGUUGGGAACUAGUUGUGGGGUCCAUUCCACGGAUUCCGUGACGCAGCUAACGCAUUAAGUUCCCCGCCUGGGGAGUACGGCCGCAAGGCUAAAACUCAAAGGAAUUGACGGGGACCCGCACAAGCGGCGGAGCAUGCGGAUUAAUUCGAUGCAACGCGAAGAACCUUACCAAGGCUUGACAUAUACGAGAACGGGCCAGAAAUGGUCAACUCUUUGGACACUCGUAAACAGGUGGUGCAUGGUUGUCGUCAGCUCGUGUCGUGAGAUGUUGGGUUAAGUCCCGCAACGAGCGCAACCCUCGUUCUAUGUUGCCAGCACGUAAUGGUGGGAACUCAUGGGAUACUGCCGGGGUCAACUCGGAGGAAGGUGGGGAUGACGUCAAAUCAUCAUGCCCCUUAUGUCUUGGGCUUCACGCAUGCUACAAUGGCCGGUACAAAGGGCUGCAAUACCGCGAGGUGGAGCGAAUCCCAAAAAGCCGGUCCCAGUUCGGAUUGAGGUCUGCAACUCGACCUCAUGAAGUCGGAGUCGCUAGUAAUCGCAGAUCAGCAACGCUGCGGUGAAUACGUUCCCGGGUCUUGUACACACCGCCCGUCAAGUCAUGAAAGUCGGUAACACCUGAAGC
rnacentral:rRNA from 1 species